UACGUAGGGUGCAAGCGUUGUCCGGAAUUAUUGGGCGUAAAGAGCUCGUAGGCGGUUUGUUGCGUCGGCUGUGAAAACCUGAGGCUCAACCUCAGGCCUGCAGUCGAUACGAGCAGACUAGAGUGUUGCAGGGGAGACUGGAAUUCCUGGUGUAGCGGUGAAAUGCGCAGAUAUCAGGAAGAACACCCGUGGCUAAGGCGGCUCUCUAGUACGGUACUGACGCUGAGACGCGAAAGCGUGGGGAGCGAAGCA
rnacentral:rRNA from 1 species